rnacentral:tRNA from 1 species
GCCUGUAUGGCUCAGUUGAUUGAGCAUUCGCCUGCCGCCCAAAAGGUUGCUGGUUCAACUCUAGCUGUGGAUA